GUGCAAGUAUGGUAAGGGCGGACGGUGGAUCCCUCGGCAGCCGGAGGCGACGAAGGGCGUGGCCAGCUGCGAUAAGCCCCGGGGAGCCGCUGAGCAGGCUAUGAUCCGGGGAUUCCCGAAUGGGGAAACCCACCGUGCCGUUGAGGCACGGUAUCCAGGGCCGAAAUCCCAAGUAAGCCCUGGAGGCGAACCCCGCGAAGUGAAACAUCUCAGUAGCGGGAGGAAGAGAAAUCAACACCUGUUCCCGCAAGGGAGCAGGCGCGCCCGCCAAAAGCGGGCGUGGAGAUUCCCCUAGUAGCGGCGAGCGAACGGGGAGGAGCCCAAACCCCACGGAUGCCCAAGCCCGCAGGCGUUGUCCGUGGGGGGUAGCGGGACGGCGACGGGGAGGGCUGCGGACCUCCCAGGGAGUUACAAAAGCCUCCUCUAGCCGAACAGCCAGCAAAGCCACUGGAAAGGGCGACCGGAGAGGGUGAUAGUCCCGUAGGCGAAAGGGGAGGCUCUCCUGGGUUGCCGUUCCCAAGUAGCGUCGGACACGGGGAAUCCGGCGCGAAUCUGGGGGGACCACCCUCCAAGGCUAAACACUACCGGCUGACCGAUAGCGCACCAGUACCGCGAGGGAAAGGUGAAAAGAACCCCGGGAGGGGAGUGAAAUAGAACGUGAAACCGUCCGCUCACAGUGCAGUGGUAGCCGGGAACCGCCUCCGCGAGGGGGCGGGGAACGGUGGCCGCGUGCCUUUUGCAGUAUGAGCCGGCGAGUUGUGCUCGGUGGCGAGGCUAAGCGAUUCUUUCGCGGAGCCGUAGGGAAACCGAGUCCGAACAGGGCGACCAGUCACCGGGCACAGACCCGAAGCCAGGCGAUCUACCCGUGGGCAGGGUGAAGUGCGCGUAACAGCGCAUGGAGGCCCGAACCGGUUGACCGUGCAAAGUCAUCGGAUGACCUGCGGGUAGGGGUGAAAGGCCAAUCGCGCCUGGGGAUAUCUGGCUCUCCCCGAAAUGGCUUUUGGGUCAGCCUCACGCGCAGGCGGCCGGGGGUAGAGCACUGGCUGGGGAAGGGGGGCAACUCCCGACCCCAAUCAAACUCCGAAUACCGGCCGUCGGUCCGUGGGAGUGAGUCUGUGGGGGAUAACCUCCAUGGACAAGAGGGAAACAACCCAGACCACCAGCUAAGGCCCCAAAAUCCGGGCUAAGUGGGGAAGGCGGUGUGGCCGCCCAGACAGCGGGGAGGUUGGCUUAGAAGCAGCCAUCCUUUAAAGAGUGCGUAACAGCUCACCCGUCUAGCGGCCGCGCGCCGAAAACUCAACGGGGCUAAGCCCGGUGCCGAAGCUGUGGGUGGGGCCCUUCCCAGGGCCCCGCGGUAGGGGAGCAUUCCGCCGUAGGUCGAAGCCGGGUCGCGAGGCCCGGUGGACGAAGCGGAAGAGAGAAUGCCGGCAUGAGUAGCGCGAGGCGGGUGAGAAUCCCGCCCACCGAAUGCCCAAGGUUUCCUGGGGAAGGCUGAUCCGCCCAGGGUUAGGCGGGACCUAAGCCGAAGCCGAAAGGCGUAGGUGAUGGACAGCCGGUCAACAUUCCGGCCCCUCCGGACCCGCGUUACGAGCGAAGGGGGGACGCCGGUGGACCUUCCCCGCGGGCUUACGGCUACGCCCGUCCAAGCGUCGAGCCAGGGGGGAUAGGUAAAUCCGUCUCCCCGAAACCGCUCUGUCCCGCCCGAUGAGGGCGGGGCGGGGCGAAGAGGCGAGGCGUGAUGGCGAGCCCCGUAAGGGGCGAAGGGGGAACGGUUCAGCGGCCGAGAAAAGCCUCUAGCCAGCUGGUCCGGAGCCCGUACCGCAAACCGACACAGGUGGGCAGGGGGAGUACCCCAAGGUGGGCGAGCUAACCCCGGUCAAGGAACUCGGCAAAAUGGCCCCGUAACUUCGGGAGAAGGGGUGCCCUUGGGGUUGUCGGGGAUGACCCGAUGGCCCUGGGGGCCGCAGAGAAUCGGCGGGGGCGACUGUUUACCAAAAACACAGGUCCCUGCUAACCCGUAAGGGGAUGUAUAGGGGCUGAAACCUGGCCACUGCCGGUAGGUUAAGGGGAGGGGUGCAAGCCCCGAACUGAAGCCCCGGUGAAGGCCGGCCGUAACUAUAACGGUCCUAAGGUAGCGCAAUUCCUUGUCGGGUAAGUUCCGACGCGCAUGAAAGGAACAACGACUCCCGCGCUGUCUUGACCGGGGGCUCGGUGAACUCGAAGCACGGGUGAAGAUGCCCGUGACCCGCGGUGGGACAGAAAGACCCCGUGGAGCUUUACUGCAGCUUGGCGUUGGGUCCUGACAUCCACUGUAGAGGAUAGGUGGGAGGCUGAGAAGCCCGGGCGCCAGCUCGGGUGGAGCCGCCGGUGGAAUACCACCCUGUGGCUGUUGGGGCCCUAACCAGGGGCCGUGACGAGCGGUUCCGGGACAGCGCUAGGCGGGCAGUUUUGCUGGGGCGGCAGCCUCCUAAAGGGUAACGGAGGCGCCCAAAGGUCCCCUCAGGCGGGUUAGCGAUCCGCCGGUGAGUGCAAGGGCAGAAGGGGGCUUGACUGCGAGGCCUACAAGCCGAGCAGGGGCGAAAGCCGGGCCUAGUGACCCACCGGUUCCUCGUGGGAGGGCCGGUGAUCAACGGAUAAAAGCUACCCCGGGGAUAACAGGCUAGUCUCCCCCGAGAGUUCACAUCGACGGGGAGGAUCGGCACCUCGAUGUCGGCUCACCCCAUCCUGGGGCUGCAUCAGGUCCCAAGGGUCGGUCUGUUCGCCCGUUAAAGGGGUUCAUGAGCUGGGUUCAGACCGUCGUGAGACAGGUCGGUCCCUAUCUACCGCGGGCGCAGGAGGCUUGAGGGGGUCCGUCCCUAGUACGAGAGGACCGGGACGGCCGAGCCGCUGGCGUACCAGCUGUCCCGCCCGGGGCACCGCUGGGUAGCUAAAGCUCGGACCGGAUAAGAGCUGAAGGCAUCUAAGCUCGAAGCCGACCCCAAGAUGAGGCCUCCCCAUCAGGGCCCAGGGAGACUACCUGGUGGAUAGGCCGCAGGUGGAAGCCCGGCAACGGGUGGAGCCGAGCGGUACUAAUCGCCCGAUUGGCUUGCAC
rnacentral:rRNA from 1 species